rnacentral:rRNA from 1 species
UACGUAGGGUGCAAGCGUUGUCCGGAAUUAUUGGGCGUAAAGAGCUCGUAGGUGGUCUGUCGCGUCGGAUGUGAAAAUCCAGGGCUUAACCCUGGACCUGCAUUCGAUACGGGCAGACUAGAGUUCGGUAGGGGAGACUGGAAUUCCUGGUGUAGCGGUGAAAUGCGCAGAUAUCAGGAGGAACACCGGUGGCGAAGGCGGGUCUCUGGGCCGAUACUGACGCUGAGGAGCGAAAGCGUGGGGAGCGAACAGG